rnacentral:rRNA from 1 species
UGGGGAAUUUUGGACAAUGGGGGCAACCCUGAUCCAGCCAUGCCGCGUGAGUGAAGAAGGCCUUCGGGUUGUAAAGCUCUUUCGGACGGAACGAAAUGGUUACGGUGAAUAUCCGUGACUGAUGACGGUACCGUAAUAAGAAGCACCGGCUAACUACGUGCCAGCAGCCGCGGUAAUACGUAGGGUGCGAGCGUUAAUCGGAAUUACUGGGCGUAAAGCGUGCGCAGGCGGUUCGCCAAGUCAGGUGUGAAAUCCCCGGGCUUAACCUGGGAAUUGCGCUUGAAACUAGCGGGCUUGAGUGUGGCAGAGGGGGGUGGAAUUCCACGUGUAGCAGUGAAAUGCGUAGAGAUGUGGAGGAACACCGAUGGCGAAGGCAGCCCCCUGGGUCAACACUGACGCUCAUGCACGAAAGCGUGGGGAGCAAACAG